UUGCUCAUACCUGUACCGGACCAGUUUCGACGUUCUGUGGAGUUUUUGAGGGCUUUAUACAACGUGCAACACAUAGAGAUGUCAGAAGCAUAAAUGACAUGAUGGCUAGGACAUAUAGCUGGGGGAGAAUGGAAGUGGUUGUCCAGAGCCCAGAUGUGCAAAAAUUAAAGAAAGAUGGCCUGCCCAGGUAAAUGAUUUAUCAAUGACAUGCUGCUUGGCAAAUAAUGGUGAAUGAAGAUGUUUAUGUGAUGCUAUGCUAGACACACUUUUUGCUGAACACAUACUGAAAAUUUUACCUCACAUGUUUUAUGGAGGAUUUCAUUGCAUAGGAAUAAAAGGUUGCCAAUUCUUUACACAUUUGGUUCCAAAUAACAGACAAACAAUUGAUGUAUUACAGAAAAAUGAAGAAUUCUAAAGGUGUACUGGUGUUCCACAAGAAUCGGUUUUUAUGUCCCAGCUGGACAAAUAAACUCCAAAACUUCUUGACCUGUUUAGUGCGAAGGGUGCAGCGACUGGUGAAAACAUCAAUUGGAGUUAUUGGAACUGAUACAGGAUUCAAGUACCUCUGUGGUGCGGAAGAGAGACGUGGCUCUGAGAUGCCUCAUUGAAUACAUGGGAGAGAGUGGGCAAAAGCUGAUCUCUGACUACUAUGGAAAAACAGAGAACAGUGUCUAUGAAGACUUGAAAAUGCGCAAUAUGCAGAUAUAUGUCUGCCGUGUUCCAGAUGUGGUGGGCAUCAUCAUUGAGGGCAUCCCUGUGCUUACUCGUCUUG
ensembl:processed_transcript